UUGAACGCUGGCGGCAUGCCUUACACCUGCAAGUCGAACGGUAACAGGUCUUCGGAUGCUGACGAGUGGCGAACGGGUGAGUAAUACAUCGGAACGUGCCCAGACGUGGGGGAUAACGAGGCGAAAGCUUUGCUAAUACCGCAUACGAUCUAAGGAUGAAAGCAGGGGACCGCAAGGCCUUGCGCGUUUGGAGCGGCCGAUGGCAGAUUAGGUAGUUGGUGGGAUAAAAGCUUACCAAGCCGACGAUCUGUAGCUGGUCUGAGAGGACGACCAGCCACACUGGGACUGAGACACGGCCCAGACUCCUACGGGAGGCAGCAGUGGGGAAUUUUGGACAAUGGGCGAAAGCCUGAUCCAGCAAUGCCGCGUGCAGGAUGAAGGCCUUCGGGUUGUAAACUGCUUUUGUACGGAACGAAAAGGCUCUGGCUAAUACCUGGGGCACAUGACGGUACCGGAAGAAUAAGCACCGGCUAACUACGUG
rnacentral:rRNA from 1 species